CACACAUAGAAGGCUUCCCUAUCAGCUGGGGAAAUCCUGGCUCCUCUACAGCAACUGGAAGGAGGGCAGGAGGAGUGGCCCCAGAGGAGAAGUGGACAGAGACACAGAUGUCCACCAGCCUGGAAGAGCAAGGGACUCGAGAGGAAGAGGCAGCACGUUUGCUGGCAGAUGCUCAGAAAGGACAGCGAGCGAUAAGCCCCAUCACAGAGCACAGAUGGUAGCCGCCGUGUCUUAUGUGAGGAAUCACAAGAUUUGGAUUUGAGUUGCAGCUUCCCCACCUACCAGCAAUGACUAAGCAAGUGGCUUAACCUGCCUGCUCCUGGGGCAGGCACUCUGGGCCACUCAGGCUAACCGCUCUCAGGACUACCUUUCCCAUGUGGGUCACACAUUGGAAGGCACAGCCACCUCUUCAGAGUCUCACCCCAACCCUCAGUCACAGAGGGAGGAAGGAGUCAGCUCUGCUCUCCAGCCUAAUGCCAUACGGUCUCAUCUCAGAUGCAAACUCCCUUGUUCGGUACAUGAACAGUGUUAUGAGUCACUUCCCCAGUCUAUGGCUUGCCUUUCCACUCUCUCUGUGAUGGCCUUUGAAGAACAGAAGCCCCUGAUUUUAAUGAAGUUUGCUUUAUCAAUCUUUUCUUUUACAUCUGGUGCUUCCUAUGCCCUGUUUAAGGAAAUCUUUACUUUUCUCAAAAAGUGGGCUGAAAUUUAUCCUAUUUAUCUGACACUGAGUAGGCACUUUAUACUCAGAUGUUCACCAGCUAAGGGGACACUCCUGCUUGUCUUCUCAGGAGAUCACCAACUUAGAACCCAUGAGGAGAGUUUUUCUCUUUUUUCUGGACUCCUCUCAGGCUUUACAGGAUUCACUGAACGUGGUUUCUGAAUCUGUACUCCAGGCACUUGGAAAUAACAAGGCUUGUGCAUCCCUCAGUCUGAGGCAGCAUCUCUGUGAAUAGCACCCCACUCCAUGUCAGGAGCAGCGAUCCCUUCCCAUUUCUGGACCCAAUACCUGACACCCACAAUUUAGAAGAGAAGACAUUUAAUUUCUUUCAGGGUCUCAGAGGGUCCAGUUCACAUCAGCUGACUCCAAGGCAGAGACAUCACAGUGGAAGAGCACAGCAGAACAAAGAUCUUUAGUUCAUAGCAGCUGGGGAACCACACACGGAACAGCGCCAGAGAGAAACAGAUGAGGAACCAGACAGAGACCCCAAGACCACGCCUCUAUGAUCCAGCUAGACACAUCCUGCCCAGUACCUGCUUCUCUCCAAGAACACAAGCUGCCCUGGUUCAUCCUGUGUAAAAUGGCCAUGCUGCCAGCCUGCUCUACCACCUCCAGGCACUGGGCAAGGUGUUUGCCACAUGCUUACUUGCCCAAAAACUUCAGAGGAUGAUCUCCCGUCUCCUGGGUGAGAAGUCUCACCACUGCGCCGGCCACUCCAUCAGCAACAUCUCCAGGGAGAAGACCAUGCUGAAGAUGAGCCCUACAGUCUGAUUGCUUGAGCAGCAAAAUUAAAAAGAAGAGAAAACUGAGGUCCUCUUUGCCAGACUCAAAGUCUUAAAAAAAAAGAACUGGGACCUGGAGACUUGAGAUAGAGACAGUGUCUCGAAAACACUGAACCUUCAGAUCCCCCUGGUUUCUCUCUCUGCCUACUGUGGUCUACUAUUCCUUUCUAGAAUAUUGUUAGACAUGCCUGCCUCACAUCUGUUCAGAAGUCACAAAAUGUGGCAAAUCCAUUCCAAGACAUUGCCUCUUCUCACAAUCUGCCCUCACCUUCCUUCCCUAAUGGCCACCAAAAUAAUAACCAGGAUCAAGUCUCAGCAGAGCCUAACUGUAAAAAUGCUAGCCCUUCCAAGAGAAGGGUUAUUCACCAAGUGACCCAACCAACAAGAUCCCACAAGAAUCACGUAAGCUUAGUUAGAAUUGGUCCUUAACAGUAUUGAACCAAGGGUGAGUAGGGAAGUAGCACAAAUAUAAACCUAGAUAAGAAAUUUCACACUUUGUAAUAAAUUCUGAACAGCUUCUCAAAUAUUUGGGGGGGUCUUUACCAUAACAGGUAA